GAUGAACGCUGGCGGCGUGCCUAAUACAUGCAAGUCGAGCGAAUGGAUUGAGAGCUUGCUCUUAUGAAGUUAGCGGCGGACGGGUGAGUAACACGUGGGUAACCUGCCCAUAAGACUGGGAUAACUCCGGGAAACCGGGGCUAAUACCGGAUAACAUUUUGAACCGCAUGGUUCGAAAUUGAAAGGCGGCUUCGGCUGUCACUUAUGGAUGGACCCGCGUCGCAUUAGCUAGUUGGUGAGGUAACGGCUCACCAAGGCAACGAUGGGUAGCCGACCUGAGGGUGAUCGGCCGAACUGGGACUGAGACACGGCCCAGACUCCUACGGGAGGCAGCAGGAGGGAAUCUUCCGCAAUGGACGAAAGUCUGACGGAGCAACGCCGCGUGAGUGAUGAAGGCCUUCGGGUCGUAAAACUCUGUUGUUAGGGAAGAACAAGUACCGGAGUAACUGCCGGUACCUUGACGGUACCUAACCAGAAAGCCACGGCUAACUACGUGCCAGCAGCCGCCGUAA
rnacentral:rRNA from 1 species